GAAGCUUCUAGCUUGCUAGAAGUGGAUUAGUGGCGCACGGGUGAGUAACGCAUAGGUUAUGUGCCCNAUAGUCUGGGAUAGCCACUGGAAACGGUGAUUAAUACUGGAUACUCCUACGGGGGAAAGUUUUUCGCUAUGGGAUCAGCCUAUGUCCUAUCAGCUUGUUGGUGAGGUAAUGGCUCACCAAGGCUAUGACGGGUAUCCGGCCUGAGAGGGUGAUCGGACACACUGGAACUGAGACACGGUCCAGACUCCUACGGGAGGCAGCAGUAGGGAAUAUUGCUCAAUGGGCGAAAGCCUGAAGCAGCAACGCCGCGUGGAGGAUGAAGGUUUUAGGAUUGUAAACUCCUUUUCUAAGAGAAGAUAAUGACGGUAUCUUAGGAAUAAGCACCGGC
rnacentral:rRNA from 1 species